rnacentral:lncRNA from 1 species
CUUCGCUUCCUCCGUCGCAGUCCUGUUUCUUUUCUUGCGCGUGCGUUCAGCUCCUUUGCUCAGCCGCGGAGGUGGAGGGACCACGAGGACUGCGGGCCCUAGGGUCCACAGAUGACAUAUCAGUCGAUAGGCAUGCAUUUACUGUUCGAGGGAAACAAAUAAGGGUGCAGCUUAGGCGAAAAGAAAAUCGUCUUAUUGCCAGUGUCUAAACUCCUAACGACGGAAUGUGUCUCUGAGACUAUGAGUGUGGAUACACGUGUACUUAAAACAGCCCCGCCUGUGUGCAGAGCUCUUGCUGUACGUCAACGCUUUACAGGAGCUAUCGCACUUAAGCCUCAGAACAACUUGAUGAGGCCUAUUUCUAACAGGCUUAUUUAUGUGCAUUCUUAUUCUAUCACGGAUUGGAAUCAGAAAAUUGGACAGUGUUGCAGGUACUCAUUGAUGCAGGCCUACCAGCAGCCACAAAAGUGAGAACUGAAUACACUACAAGAAAUGUUGAAGAAAGAGCUUCAGACAGAAGGGAAAUGAUACCAUUUGGAAAUACAGAUCUACACAAAGGAAUGAUGAGCCCUGGAAAAGUUUACAAAAUGGGAAAAGUGUGCCUCACAAAGCAGUAACUUUUUGAAGAUGACAGAAUUUUGUCCCUAUGAUGCACAACUCCCGAGAGCACCAUUUACAUUGUAUGCAUGUAAAUGGAAUUUCCUGAAGCAGUUAAGAGGCUACAGGAUUGGUUCCUGGAAGUGGAACUACUGUAUCAAAGAUUUGGAUGUUUUUAAGACCCCAGAAAGGUAUCCCUGGUUUCAAAAAAGAGGGGAAAGCAAGAUUUAAUCCUCUCCUGCCCUCAUCUCCCUUCUGAAUUUGAAUUUUUGGAAAGGUGCUUUCUUUGCCACUGAAGGAGUACACAGCCUCUUCAAUCUUAUAAAGGGACCAAACCAGCAACAUGCUUUCAUUCCUUAUAAAGGAAGCAGGAUUUACUAAUCUAAGUUAUAUACGCUAGGGACACCACUCUGUCUUUACUCACUCACUACUGUCCUUCAAAGCUUCCUCUUGCUCCUCCUCUUCCCCUAAAGAUGGGCGUUUCCCAGGGUUCUGGUUCUCAGACCUCUGCUCACUUGAUACACUUUGUGGUCCAUCUGAUCCACUCUGCACCUACAUUUUAAGGACUCUCAAGAGCCAGACCUUACUUCCAACCCUCCUGGGAUAGUUCCCUGAUACCUCAAAUUCUAGAGGGACAAAACGGAGUUCCUCCUCCUGGACCUGAGGCCCACUCCUCCUACCAGUUCACACCCUAGACCAGAAAUCUGGCAAUCCCUUGCUCUUGCCCCUGCCCUACACCGCCAGUCAAUUUCCCAUUCCACUCACUCGUUUUAAAUUACUUUUCUUGAAUCCCUCUUCCCUCUAUCACCACUGCCACUAGGUACACAGCAGUGGUCCUCAUCCAUCCUUAUUUAGAUCACAGACUGUCUUAUAUUCCGUCUUCCAGUCUCCUGGACCCAACCAGUGUCAUCUUUUCAAAGACAUGUAACCUUUCUACACUUGAGCUUGCUUUUCCAUUUAAAAAAACCUUUUCAUGAUUCUCCAUUUCCUAUAGGUUUUAAUCCUGAGGCCCAAUAGUCAUUUACUCACAAAGCAGAGUAAACCCCGAGAAAUUGUCUGCAAAAUUUUAGUAUAGAUCUAGAGGUGCAUUUUUCUGAAGAGAGACCACAUUGCUUUCCAUAGAUUCUCAAAAGGAUAUGUGUCCCCAAAAAGGCUAAAACUUGUAGGUCUCAUGCUAAAGUCCAAACUCUUCAGCAUGGAAUAUAAAGCCCUGGAUAACCUGGCCAUCCAUCCAGCUUCCUUUCUCAACCCCCUCUUCACUCCCCUCCCCACCCAUCCUUUGCUGGCUGUAGUUCUUCACCACAGGCCUUUGCACAUGCUGCCAUGCUUGCUCAGCUUGAGAUGCCCCUUCCUCUCUGCUUAGUUGGCCUGGCUUUAGCCAUCAAGGAAACUACCUUCUUUGUUUCAAGAAACACCUGAGGUCGUGCUACCUACAGAAGGCUGUGCAGGCUAGGCAAGGUGUUAACUCUUGCCUCCCUGAAGCCAGCCUAGCAAUUGCUUUCUCUUAGCUUCUACCUGCGGGAUUCACAAACUUGGGGGUGGGGGGGGGGGCGGAUAGGGAGAGAAGAGAAAACCACAAAGUAAUGCCAGUAAAACAAACACUGACUGAAAAUUGUUUGUGCAGCACUUACACACUGUAGAAGAACCUCGGGCUGAAUAUACAGUACAUUUUUGUAGUGUUUUCUUGGGAGGGAGAAACUGGGCGGUGAACACGUCAUUUAUAGUUGCCAGCAGAUUUUUUGAUGAGAAAUACCACACACCUUCCUGUUACAGAAUAUUGUAUAGAAAUUUCCAAUACCGUCUGGUUUUCCUUUAUUUUAUGCCUAGCCACCACAUAGUUUAAUGUAUUUUUACAAAUACUGUAAUAACGCAGUUCUGAUAUUCUGCGAUUUACUAGGAGGACUGCUGGGUCAUUUAUCUGAAUUAUUGCUCCUGGUUCACGCCACCACCACUCAAAAAAAAGGUAGUCUACCAUCAUGAUGUGUCUCUAAAAUUCUCCAUCUACCCUGGAAGAUGACCAACUUUUUGAGAUAAACCGUGUUCUGACUAGUCUUUUGGUGAGACCUCCUAUGCCUUACAGCACAGGCUCUAAAAGUCAAAAGUCUCCUCUUUCAGAAAAGUUGUCUUUUGUUGCCUCGUAAGGGAGCUCUUCCAAUUUCUUGGGCGGACGGAUCUGAGCAAAGUGUAUUUCCCUGCUAGUAAAGCACCAACUUAUAAAUAGCGCUCACCGCGCUGAGUCACCAAAACCCGGAGUCUCCCCAAAUAGCUUAUAACGACUGCUGGAAGCGCGUCCCCCGGAGCGGUGACGGACUCCAGCCACACACCUGCGGGGUUGGAGUGUAGGCUCGCGCCGCUGAGCGGGUCCCCAACCAGCCGGCGCCCCGGGAAUGCGGGCAGGGCCUCCGAUUGCCAGCCAAGAAUCAGAGCGUCGGACCUCGCGCGCGCGGACGGCGCUCUCGGGAUGCGGCCCGACUCGGCAGCGACUGGUCCGGGACCGCCCCGCCCCCUCCGGAGCUGGGAGCCGCGGGGGGGCCGGCACCAGCCUCCGCCCUGCGCCGCCCGCUCACACAAUGGGGCGCGGCGGGAGGGGGUGAUAGCGGCUGCCUCUCCGGUCCCAGGCCCGGGACUCCGGGCAGCUGGGGAUGCAGCCAGGGUCUAGGGCCGUAAGGAAAACCCCCGUCUAUCCUCCGCUCACUCCCACACUUCGAAAUGGCUGCAGCCACCGGUACUGGGGGCUGGGGGAGGGAGCGGAAGCGCCACCCCCUGCAGUCAGGGGAUGGUGACGUCACCCCGACUGUCAGCCUGUAGCGGGGGCGUCUGCCCGUCACGUGACCUCAGCCCCCUCCUCCUCGCUGAAUUCCGCGCGCGCGCUCCCUCCCCCAACCCCGACUCCCACCUCUCCCCCGCCUCCUCUCCCCAACUUUCGCCCUCCCCGCUCCAGCAGGGCUGUCAACAGCGCCAGCUCCGCCCCCUCCCCCGCGCCCUGUGUAACCGCCACGGCGGCGCAGCGGGCGCUCGCGCUCAGCUCCCGGGCUCCUGGAGGAGAGCGUGCCCCCUGUCCCCAGGUUGCCCCCCAAUUCCCGGCGCGCUGGGUGCGUGGGCACAGGAGCCAGGGUGCGCGGCGGCGUGCGGCGACAGCGCUUCUCUGCUCAGCCCUCCCACGGCAGCCGCAAGACGAGGCGGAGACGCCAGUUCCGAGCUCGGAGGGGGCGAGGCGCGCUCGGCCGCCUCCCAGCCCUGGCGCGUCUCCACCGGGGGGCUGCCCCGGGCAGGAGCAGCAGACGGGAGGCCGCCCUCAACCCCCGCCCAGGGCCCGCGCCUCCGCGGCGCUCCCGCCUCCGCUCUCCCUGCCGCCUGGGCGGCGCGCGCUAGUCCUGCCUGGCUUCGUCUCCGGCCGCGGCGCGGGCACCGGCUGUACGACGAGGGGCCAGGCGCGGACCGCCUCCUUGAGCCCCCUCGGCCACCCCGCGGUAGACUGCUGGGGUUGCAGAUUUGGUGGCUGUCACUGCUGCGCCUCGUUCUAUUUUUCCUCCAAUUCCUUUCUAAAAGUAGAGGCUUGGGGGAGGGAAUAGAAAACCCGGUGUAAAAAGGGGCGGUACGGACUGACCUGUCAUCGGCGGAGGAAGACCCCCGGUGGGGAUGAGCGCUCCAACCCGCGCAGGGACUGGAGCCUUGGGUUCGCGCGGCGCGGCGGCAGCUGUGCCUCAGCCAGGUGUCCCCCUCGGCGGGGCCCGCGCUGUCGCGCCCGCCCCCUCCCCUGGCGCUGCGCUCCCCGCCCCAUCGCCAGGGACCAGGGAACCCCCCAGCUCGAUUUUUUGUGCAGUUUCAGCAAAGCUCCGAGGAAGUUGGUCCUUUUGUUCCACUAUUUAUAGAUUGCGUCAACAUUGCGAAAAGGAGAAGGCGGAGCGGUGGCCCCUCCUCCUCCCCCUCCCCCCGCCGGCUCCUGGGAGAGAAAAGCCCCAGCACACGACC